rnacentral:rRNA from 1 species
CGUGUAGGCGGCCUUUUAAGUCAGACGUGAAAUCUCCAGGCUUAACCUGGAAACUGCGUUUGAAACUGGAGGGCUUGAGGAUCGGAGAGGGCAGUGGAAUUCCCAGUGUAGCGGUGAAAUGCGUAGAUAUUGGGAGGAACACCAGUGGCGAAGGCGACUGCCUGGACGACACCUGACGCUGAGGCGCGAAAGCUAGGGGAGCAAACGGGAUUAGAUACCCCGGUAGUCCUAGCCGUAAACGAUGGGUACUAGGUGUGGGAGGUAUCGACCCCUUCCGUGCCGCAGUUAACACAAUAAGUACCCCGCCUGGGGAGUACGGCCGCAAGGUUGAA